rnacentral:tRNA from 1 species
GGGGAUUUAGCUCAGUGGAGUGAGCACUUGCCUGGCAAGCAUGAGGCCAUGAGUUUGAUUCCCA